rnacentral:rRNA from 2 species
AACGGAGGCGCCCAAAGGUUCCCUCAGAAUGGUUGGAAAUCAUUCGUAGAGUGUAAAGGCACAAGGGAGCUUGACUGCGAGACCUACAAGUCGAGCAGGGACGAAAGUCGGGCUUAGUGAUCCGGUGGUUCCGCAUGGAAGGGCCAUCGCUCAACGGAUAAAAGCUACCCCGGGGAUAACAGGCUUAUCUCCCCCAAGAGUCCACAUCGACGGGGAGGUUUGGCACCUCGAUGUCGGCUCAUCGCAUCCUGGGGCUGUAGUCGGUCCCAAGGGUUGGGCUGUUCGCCCAUUAAAGCGGUACGCGAGCUGGGUUCAGAACGUCGUGAGACAGUUCGGUCCCUAUCCGUCGCGGGCGCAGGAAAUUUGAGAGGAGCUGUCCUUAGUACGAGAGGACCGGGAUGGACGCACCGCUGGUGUACCAGUUGUCUUGCCAAAGGCAUAGCUGGGUAGCUACGUGCGGACGGGAUAAGUGCUGAAAGCAUCUAAGCAUGAAGCCCCCCUCAAGAUGAGAUUUCCCAUGGCGCAAGCUAGUAAGAUCCCUGAAAGAUGAUCAGGUUGAUAGGUCAGAGGUGGAAGCAUGGUGACAUGUGGAGCUGACUGAUACUAAUAGAUCGAGGACUUAACCAAC